rnacentral:lncRNA from 1 species
GGGAAGGGGCGGCUCUCGAGCAGUCGGUAGAGCUCGGCGUACUCGCCUCGCUGGAAGGCCACCAGGGCCCGAGCGCGCAGCACCGGAUCGCUGCCACGUAGGCGCUCGGCCGGGGGCAGUGCGCCCAGGAAGCGGCUCAAGCGGCCGGCGUGGCCCGCCUGUAGCAGCGCCUCGCAAACGCACGCCACCUGCUCGGGCGAGAAGCGGAGGCCCGUGGGCGGCUCGGCAGCGGCCUCGGGGGGCGACCCGGGGACGCCCGGGGAUCCCGGGCCCUCCGCUCCCGCCGCCGCUUCGCCCGCCCCGGCCCCGGCUGCGGCCGCCGCCUCACCCUCGGCCGCCUGCAAAGUCUGCAGGAGCUGGCGCGCUUCCUCCUCCUCUUCUUCGGUCGCCGCCGCCGCCACCGCCUCCCCCCCAGCCGCCGGCCCCGCGCUCGGCUCCGCAGGCAAGGUAGCCAUGUUUUGCAACUUUGGGAAGUUCCUCCCUCCUUCUCCUCCUCCCUCGGGCUUUCCCCAGCCCCCCCCCCCCCCCCCCCCCCCCCCCCCCCUCCCCCCCCCCCCCCCCCCCCCCCCCCCCCCCUCCCCCCCCCCCCCCCCCCCCCCCCCCCCCCCUCCCCCCCCCCCCCCCCCCCCCNNNNNNNNNNNNNNNNNNNNCCCCCCCAGCCGCCGGCCCCGCGCUCGGCUCCGCAGGCAAGGUAGCCAUGUUUUGCAACUUUGGGAAGUUCCUCCCUCCUUCUCCUCCUCCCUCGGGCUUUCCCCAGCCCCCUCCCCCGCCCGUCCCCCCCCCUCCGCCCUCCCCUUCGCGCUUCCCGAUCUUCCACCCCCCGCCGACCCCGCGUCUCCCCCAGCAGUGCCAGGCCCAGCUCUCCACUAGGGUCUCUGUCCCAGUGUCUGUGUGUGUGCCCGCCCCCCUCCCCGUCUGUCCGUGAUUCUCCUUUUGUUUUCCCUCCGCCUCAGGCCGCGCUUUUUCCUCCCCCCGCGUGUGCCUCAGGCUGAGGGCCUCAGUUUCCCCAUCGGGACAACGGAGAAGGUAACGGGCCGUCCGGGAAGGCUAAGGGCGCGAAGCCACCUCCGCCCCGAGACUAAGCUUCUGCACGCCUCCGUCUCCAGAGUCCUCUGAAGGCCCCCCCAUGCCCCAUCUCGGCCCGCGCUCCGCCCCUCGGAAUUCCCGGCUCCGCAGGGGGGCGGGUCCGGCAGGGAGAAGGGGCGGGGGAAACGGGCUAGAAAGUUUGCAGCAACUUUUCUCGAGCUAGUCGCUGGGACCGAGUCGCGUGGCCCGCGCAAGCGCAGUAGUAGGAGGAUGGCCGCGCGCGCGCGCGCGCGCAGCCGGCCCAACCCCCUUCUUGCCGGCCUGCGGGUGGCACAGCUGGGCCACAGCUGGGCAAGGGGCGGUGCCUCCGGGCGGCUCGCUAGCCACCUCCUAUUGGCCGGAUGCCGAAGCCACGCCUUUCAGCGUCCCCACCCCCAUCCCCAGCCCCGAUUCGUCUGCUUGGCGGCCCUGUAGCUUCUUGCCAGGCCAUUGGGCGCCUGCACUCGCCUUCCAAUUGGCCCACUGAGCAGCCUCGUUCCCGCAACGCAAAGAGAGCGGACACCGCGGAGUCCAGAGCGUUGGGCAGACGGGAGGGCCUUUUAUUCGCGAGGAUCGGGGGUGGGGUCCUAGGUGUGGAGAGACAAUAAAUACUGAGGAAUGUCGGGGU